rnacentral:misc_RNA from 1 species
AUGGAAGAGCCGAAGAGUAACAGAAAGCUGUAUAAAUAUAGCAGAGAUUCCAAUCACCCUCAAGCUGGUUUUAUCUCUCUCUCUCUCUGGUCAAGAAAAACCAACUUCUAAAGAUAUACCAUUCUUGCAACCUCUUCUUAAUCCCUUAUUUCUCUCUCUCUGAAUUUAUCUGGCUUUUUUUAUCCUUUUCCUCUCUUGGUUACUCUCUGUUCAAGAAAAACUUGUUAAAAAACUAUGUAGGAAGUUGGAUACCCAGGUUUCUUUGUUUCUGGGUAUUUGAUACAAUUUUCAAUCAAGGAGCUUUCUUUCUUUGAUAAAGGUUGCAGAUACCAGACACCCAGAACUUUUUAACGAAUGGCUAUGGAAGAAGGAGAAUCCCAGGAAAUCCCAGAAAUGGAAAUGCAUAAUGAUGAAAAGAAGAGGGACUUCAUCCUUGAUGACCCCUCACCAAGAGGUGUAUUAGAAAUUCCUAUUUUAAGUCCUGACUCUGAUCACAGCGGUAGCAGCAGCAGCUCGAAUUCUACCGAGAAAUUAGUCCCUGAAAGAGAGGUGACUCGAGAGGGUAAUUUGUCACAAUGGAAGAACUUACUUGACUCGUUUAAGAAGAAAUCGAUGAGGAGGUUUUCAGUGAUUCCAUCGUUUACCAACUAUGAUAUUAUUGCUAAGAGCAGUUUGAAAAGGAAAUUGACUAGAAUGCAGAAUUCCCCAGGUGUGGUGAUUGAUUGGGAGGGCAUGCCAAUUCCUAAACCAUCCUGGAGAAAUUUUGAUUAUGCAGAACUUGAGGCUGCAACUGAUAAAUUCAGUUCUGAGAACUUGAUUGGGAAAGGGGGCCAUGCAAAAGUGUACAGGGGGUGUUUAUCUGAUGGUCAAGUUGUAGCUGUGAAGAAGCUAGUCAAGACUGAAAAGGAACAAGAGGAUAGAAUUGGCGAUUUUUUAUCUGAGCUUGGGAUUAUUGCACACAUAAACCACCCCAAUGCUGCUAAAUUGCUUGGUUUCAGCAUCGAUGGUGGUUUGCAUCUUGUCCUCGAAUUUUUACCCCAUGGCAGCCUUGCUUCUGUUCUCCAUGGUGGAGGAGAUUGUCUAGAAUGGAAGAAAAGGUUUAAGGUAGCUGUAGGAAUAGCAGAAGGAUUGAAGUAUCUCCAUCAUGAUUGCCAAAGACGCAUUAUCCACAGAGACAUCAAAGCGUCCAACAUAUUGCUUGGUGAAGAUUAUGAAGCUCAGAUUUCUGAUUUUGGAUUGGCAAAGUGGCUUCCAGAAAAUUGGGUUCACCAUGUUGUCUUUCCCAUUGAGGGCACAUUCGGGUUAGGCUUGCAGCUUCAGUAAUUUGUCAUUAUCAUUUUUAUUUUCUAAACAUUCUUCUUGAUUAGGACUUAUGGAACUUAUAAUGGGUUUCAGAUAUUUGGCUCCAGAAUAUUUUAUGCAUGGGAUAGUCAAUGAGAAGACUGAUGUAUUUGCUUAUGGGGUUUUAUUACUAGAGAUAAUAACAGGUCGUCAUGCAGUUGAUUCGAGUAGACAAAGCCUUGCAAUGUGGGUAAGAUCUGCUUUUGCUAAGCCUAUUGUUUCUAUCUAUUAGUAUACAUCCAUUGUUGUUCAUGGAGAUCUUAAGUCCUUUUCUGCAAAUUUCAUCAAGUAAAGGCUUCAUAUUUUUGCUCUUAAUUUUAUGGGCAGGGGACAGAUUAAUUGGUUAGCUCUUGGGUUUAAUUCUAGGCUUUAUUGUCAAAGCCAUUUCUUCAUGAAAACAUUGACAAACUCUGCUCUUUCUAUUUUUGUACAGGCAAAACCACUUUUACAGGAAAACAAUGCUAAAGAUGUAGUUGAUCCACGACUCGGGGAUGAUUAUGAUCCUAUUGAAAUGAAGCAUGCCAUGUUAACAGCUUCAGAGUGCAUUAACCACCUACCAUCAAUGCGUCCACACAUGAACCGGGUAUGAAAUUUUUUCUCCCAUCAAUUGAUUUUCCAUUAAUAAGAGACAGAAUUCAUAGCUAAAAGUAAUUUUUGAAAAGUUCAGGUUGUGCAGCUGCUGAGGGGUGAGGAAACACCUAUGGAGUUGAAGCAAAAGACUGAUGCUGGAAGGGCUGUGAUUUUAGAUGGUUGUGACAUACAAGAUUAUACUUGCACCACCUACCUCAAUGACCUCAAUCGCCACAUGCAACUUGUGAUGGAGUAGUGUUUUGUUUGAAUACACAUAGGAGGGGCCAUUGCUGUUUCUGCUGCUUUAGUUUUCCUGUGUAGACAUGGGGAAAAAAUGUUUAAAAUGCCAUUUUCUGUGUCAACAAUUUUCUCCUUCUAGUGUCUUUCCACAGGAUUUUCUCCCAAAGGGUUGUUUGACAUAAAAAUCAUAGAGAACAGUAAUGAAGAACAAUCACAUUACACAUGUAAUUAAAAAUUAAAUCUCGAGCAAGAAAAUGAAUACACACUUUUACAUA